rnacentral:rRNA from 1 species
GACGAACGCUGGCGGCGUGCUUAACACAUGCAAGUCGCACGAAGUGGAGAACGGGUGAGUAAUACGUGGGUAACCUGCCCUCCUUUUUGGGAUAAGCCUUGGAAACGGGGUCUAAUACCGAAUAAAGGGGGAUGGGCUCGCGGACUAUCAGCUUGUUGGUGGGGUGAUGGCCUACCAAGGCGGUGACGGGUAGCCGGCCUGCGAGGGUGACCGGACACAGUGUGACUGAGAUACGGCACAGAAUCCUACGGGAGGCAGCAGUGGGGAAUAGUGCACAAUGGGCGCAAGCCUGAUGCAGCCAGGCCGCUUGUAUGAAGAAGGCGUUCGGGUUGUAAAGUACUGUCAGCGGAGAGGCGGUACCCGCAGAGGAAGCACCGGCUAACUCCGUGCCAGCCGCCGCGGUAAUUC